rnacentral:rRNA from 1 species
GACGAACGCUGGCGGCGUGCCUAAUACAUGCAAGUAGAACGCUGACGAGAGGAGCUUGCUCUUCUUGGAUGAGUUGCGAACGGGUGAGUAACGCGUAGGUCACCUGCCUUGUAGCGGGGGAUAACUAUUGGAAACGAUAGCUAAUACCGCAUAACACUGGCUGCGACUUAUCGUUUGUUUGCAUGGGGCCUUUGCCCCACUACAAGAUGGACCUGCGUUUGAUUAGUUAGUAGGUUAGGUAACGGCUCACCUAGGCGACCGUACAUAGCCGACCUGAGAGGGUGGACCGCCACACUGGGAAUUGGACACGGGCCAGACUCCCUCGGGAGGCAGCAGUAGGGAAACAUCGGCAAAUGGGGGAAAGCUGACCGAGCAACGACGCGUGAGUGAAGAAAGGUUUCGGGUCGUAAAGCUCUGUUGUAAGUGAAGAACGGGUGGGAGAGUGGAAAGUUCACACUGUGACGGUAGCUUACCAGAAAGCGACGGCUAACUACGUG